rnacentral:rRNA from 1 species
UGCAAGUCGAGCGGUAGCACAGGGGAGCUUGCUCCCUGGGUGACGAGCGGCGGACGGGUGAGUAAUGUCUGGGAAACUGCCUGAUGGAGGGGGAUAACUACUGGAAACGGUAGCUAAUACCGCAUAACGUCGCAAGACCAAAGAGGGGGACCUUCGGGCCUCUUGCCAUCAGAUGUGCCCAGAUGGGAUUAGCUAGUAGGUGGGGUAAUGGCUCACCUAGGCGACGAUCCCUAGCUGGUCUGAGAGGAUGACCAGCCACACUGGAACUGAGACACGGUCCAGACUCCUACGGGAGGCAGCAGUGGGGAAUAUUGCACAAUGGGCGCAAGCCUGAUGCAGCCAUGCCGCGUGUGUGAAGAAGGCCUUCGGGUUGUAAAGCACUUUCAGCGAGGAGGAAGGUGGUGAACUUAAUACGUUCAUCAAUUGACGUUACUCGCAGAAGAAGCACCGGCUAACUCCGUGCCAGCAGCCGCGGUAAUACGGAGGGUGCAAGCGUU